rfam:Dipodomys ordii contig_31820, whole genome shotgun sequence.
GGUGGCUCAGUGGUAGAGCACUUGCCUUCCAUGCCUGAGGCCCUGGGUUCAAUUCCUCAGCACCA